rnacentral:lncRNA from 12 species
GGGCCGGGGCAGCCGGCGCGUCGCUCGCGGGGGCGCCCGAGCCGCGUGGGUUCUCCGCGCUGCCCACGGCCACGCCCACCCGCGCGCGCACCCGCGGCGCCAGCGCCUCCCCGGAGCGCCCGCUCCCUGCGGCGGAGGAGCGGCGCGGCGCGGCGCGGCGGGGCGGGAGGGGGGCGAGGGCGCGCAGGAGGCGCGGGGAGGGAGGCGGCCGGCGUCACCCCUCCGCGGCCUGCUCCCGCCCGCUCUCCGGUCCGCGCCCGGCCGCGCCUCGUAGGGGCCCCGUGGGCGCGGGAGCCCCGAGAACCGCGCGGUGCGCCGGCGGCGGCAGUGCCCGGCUGGGCCGCCUCACCCCCGGCGAGCGCGCCUGGAGGGGCGCCACCUGGGCGGCCCGGCGAGCGCAGCGGCUCGGAGCCGUGUGCGUGUGCGAGGGGGUGCGUGUGCGAGGGCGUGCGUGUGCAGCUGCUUUAAGGCAACACAGUUUCUCAUGUCCUUUAUGUCUGGCUGUCCCAUGGUCUGGAGACAGAGUCGGGGGAACAAGCCUGAGCUGGUCUCUGACUUCCUGGAGUUACACUCGAUUUGGGGAGAUGGAUGGAUGGAUGGCACACAAGGGACCGACCAGAGAGCGUCACACAUGAUUUAUUUUCACAAAAAGACCAAGCUACAGUGAUGCGAAUAAAGUUUGAUGCUGCAGAGUGUGCCUGAAAUCGAAGGCAAGGUGAAUGAGACACUGUGUCCAGAGUGUGGGGUGUACGAAGCUCUUCCACACUCGGAUGCCCUCCGUCUUUGUCAUCCUCCAGCAUGCUGGGCUGCGCAGGUGCUCCUGCUGUCUCCGUGGUAUCUCCAGAUGAGGAGACCAGCUCAGAGAGGGGAAGGCAUUCUGUUCUUCUUGAUCCAGCUGAUUUGUGACUGUAGGUGUGGUUCAUUGGUUCGUCCUGUUUUCUGCUCUGUAGCUGACAUCCGGAGAGCACACUGACAUAGGUGAGAAUAAGCCACUGAUGGAUUUUGAUCAAAAUAUUCUACAAUAUUUAGUGCUUUCAUUUACUGCAUCUGAAAAUGGAAAUCAACACUUGAAAUUUUGGGCGGGAAGCUUUAUUGGAGUUCCAUCUAUCGAAGAUUACAAAGAGCAGAGCAUGGGACUCAGUGUGUUAUCCUGGAGUGUGUUCUCCUGGAGAGAACACAUCCUGUAACCACCUCCUGGGACAAGAAAGAGAAUAUAGCCAACAUUCCUGCCUGCCCCUAGGCUGAGACUCUCCUUUUCUCCUCAAAAAUAACCACUCUGCUGACUGUUUUUUAUUUUUUUGUUUUUGUUUUUGUCUCAGCUUCAUAUGAAUGGACUCCUUUGGUAAGUGUUCUUUUGCAUCUGGUUUCAUCCUUUCAACAUAGUGUCUGUGAGCUGUGUCUGUGUUGCUGCGGUGCAAUUAUAUUCUCCUUGUUUUAUCUCAUUCCACUGUAUCAAUAAUAUACCACAGUUAACCAUUUUGCCCCUGAUGCACAUCGGGGUUGUUGUUGAUUUUUGGCUAUUUCGGAGAACUGCCAAAUGCUUGCUCAUGCACAUCUUGGUGGGUGUGCAUGCAUAUCUGUUGCGUAUGUAGACUAAGAGGGAAGUUACUGAGGUGUAGGGCAUGACCAUGCUGAGCUUUAAUGAGGUCACUUUUCUAAAGAGGUUGUAUUAGUUUCUAGUCCCACCAGCGGUGGGUGAGAGAGAAUGCUUGUUAACAUUUGGUAUUCUUCAUCUUUUUUAAUUUUGGUCAUUCUGGUGAUAUGUAGUUGAAUCUCAUUAUGGUUUUGAUUCCCCAGAUUAUUAAGAAGUUGAGCAUCUUUUCAUGUACAUUGGCCAUUUGGAUAUUUUGUGAAUGGACUUUUCAAGUGUCUUGCUAAUGUUUCCAAUGCACUGAUCUUCUUUUCUUAUUGUCUUGUAGGAAAUAUUUAUAUAUUUUGGAUAUGAUCCUUUUUUUUUUUUAAGAGAGAAAGAGCGAGAAUGUGUAUGUAGGGGCAAGGGGGUAAGGAUAAGAGGGAGAGAGAGAAUCCAAAGCAGGCUCCAUGCCCAGAGCGGAGCCCAAUGCAGGGCUCUAUUUCACGAUCCUGAGAUCAUGACCUGAGCCAAAACCAAGAGCUGGAUGCUUACCUGACUGAGCAACCCAGAUGCCCGAAGGAUAGGAUCCUUUUUUGAUUUAUAUAUUGCAAAUAUCAUAUACCACUCUGAAUUUGACUUUUUACUCCCUUUAUGGUAUCUUUGGAUGGAUAGAACAUUUUGAUUUUUAUGUAGCCUAAUUUUGCAAUAUUUUCCUUUGUAGCUAGUGCUUUCUAUGUCUUAUUUAAGAGAGCUUUGCUUAUCCCAAGGCCAUGAAAAAUAUCCUUUCAUAUUGUUUUCUGGAAGCUUUAUUGUUUUACCUUUCAUAUUCAGAGUUAUAAUCCAUAUGUCAUUGAUUUUUUGCAUAUGGUGUGAAGUUGGGAUCAAAUUUGUUUUUUUUCUCCACAAUAUCUACUUACCCUAUACCAUGAAUGAAAAAGAUUUCUUUCUCCAGGCCUCUGAAAGGAUAGAUUUGUCAUAAACUAGGUACUUAUUUAUAGAAUGAUCCUGUAGACACCCCCCCACACACACUUUAUUCUGCUAGUACGGUGAGUUAUUUAAUAGGUUUUUUAAUGUUAAACCAAUCUUCCAUUUCUGGACUAAACCCAACCUGGUUAUGAUAUAUUAUUUAUUUGAAGUAUUGCAGCGUGUUUUGAUAGUUUUUACAACAAGGCACAAGCAUGAGACUCACCUGUAGCUUUCUUUUAGUGUAAUAUCCUUGUCAGGUGAGUUAUCAAGGCUUAGCUGGCUCAUAAAAUGAGUUGGAGAAGUGUCCUCUGUAUCUUAUUUAAUACAUUAAAACAUAAAUAAGUCUAAUGUAAUAUAGUUAUUUAAAAUAUAUGUAGGUUGCCUUAAGUAUAUUAUUAGUCAAGGUUCUCCAGAGAAGCAGAACCAAGUGUAAGCAUGUGUGUGUAUUUAUUCAUUAUAGGAACUGACUAGCACAAUUAUGGAGGCCAAGAAGUUCCACAGUCUGCUCUCUGCAAGCUGGAGACCCAGGAAAGCUGGUCACAUAACUCACUUCAAGUCUGAAGACCUCAGAAUCACAGAGCGUUUGUGGGGAGCAAUUGUGUAAAUUCUAGGUGGAUUCUGAAGGCCCAAGAACCAGAAGCUCUGAAGCCUGAGGGCAGGAGAAGAUAGAUGUCUCAGCUGAGGCAUAGAGAAAACUCACCCUUCGUCUGACUUUAUGUUCUAUUCAGGCCCUCAAUGGAUUGGAUGAUGCCCACUGCUUUGGUGAGGGUGGUCUUCCUUAGUCAUCUACUGGUUCAAAAUCUAAUCCCUUCCUGAAACACUUUCACAGACACUUCCAGAAAUGAUGUUUUACCAGUGAUCUGGGUGUCCCUUGGCCCAAUCAAGCUGACACAUAAAAGUAACCAGCACUGUAAGUAUUCAUUACAAUUUCUUUCAUUCCAGGCUUCUGGAAUGAAUUUUAAUGGAGACUUGUGGCAGGAGACUGGUUUCUGUGUUUGCCUGGGGAAGAGAAGGGAAGUUACACUACCUUCCGGGACUCACAAUCUGCUUGUGUGCCCAAGGCUGACAUUUGUUACUGCAUCUCAAUCCUGGAACCAUGAUCAGGGCUCAUCCUGGAUUUAAAGGAGGACCUGUAAGAUGAGAAGCUUUCUGGACAUACAUGACAAGCACUCAGAUAAAACACCUGCUCCCCACUAAGAAACUUCAAAGCCAACUUCAUCCACUUUGACCCUUCAGGUACUGUUCCAUAGAGUGUUUUUUUUUUUUUUUUUUUUUUAACUCAAAUCCCCUUCAGUACUAUCUCCAUCUCUCCAUAGUACAAGGCCUUACCACCUCUUGCUUGGGCUAUGGCAUUUGUGGGACACUUAGUGUCCAUUUCAUCCCCUUCCCAGCCAUCCAAGUGCUCACUCUAGAAUGGGCAGCUGGCCAUGAUAGUCUUUGUUGAAAACUGCUUGGUGGCUCUCCAUUGUUCUAUGAGAGGCAGUCCAGGCUCUUAAACAUAGAACACGAAUUCUCCCACCACCUGGCUCUCGCUUACCUUUCCGGCAGCUCUCUUGCUCCUCUUGGGUCUUUGCUGCACACUCUAGCAACUCUAUCUGCUUGCAGUCCCCAGUGUUUACUCUGGGGUUCUUUAUGUCUCAGCUUUUUGUAUGCUGAUCUUUCCCCUGGGAAGGGACUCUCCAUGUCUUUCUCCUGGGCAAUCCAUUCUUUAACAAUCAACUGAGGUCAGAGACCCUCCAUCCCACCCAGCUGGGGUGGCAUGGUCUCCUUUGCAUCCAUGCCUCUGUGUCUGAUGAUUAGAUUCUGGACUUCUUGAAGGCUGGUUCAGAUCUUGGUCAUACCUACAUCUAUAACUUGCUGCAUACUCAAAGGUAACAGGUGUUCAAUAAAACAUGUACAGACUUAAACGGAAGGAGCA